CCGUUGCCGGCGACCGGCGCACGGGUGAGUAACACGUAUGCAACCUGCCCGUGGCAGGGGGAUAAGCGGGGGAAACCCCGUCUAAUACCGCGUAACGCGGCCUAGGGACAUCCCAAGGCCGCCAAAGGGAGCAAUCCCGGCCACGGAUGGGCAUGCGGCGCAUUAGCUAGUCGGCGGGGUAACGGCCCACCGAGGCGACGAUGCGUAGGGGUUCUGAGAGGAGGCCCCCCACACUGGUACUGAGACACGGACCAGACUCCUACGGGAGGCAGCAG
rnacentral:rRNA from 1 species